GGGGAAUUCAUUCGCGUUUCGAUUGUGGCGUUGAGCUGUUGCGUGACCUUCGUUGGCGCCUUCAGUUCUUCGAAGACCGAACGCGUGCACUUUUCCCCUAGUAGGACGUCGCGAUCCGUUGGGCGUCGGUCUAAGGCCUGCGGUGGAGCUCGCGCGGACGUUUCGGCGUACCGCACGAACCCGCAGUGUCCCGAUCGACACGCUCGACGGUAUAAAGAUGGCGCGGGGCCGCUACACAGUUAGCGUUCGGCCUACGGCAAGCACGUACGGUGUUUGAUGGCGAUCAGACCUAGUCGGAUCCCGUCCCCGGACGACUGUUGGCACGUAGUGUUCUCGAACAGACCUCGGAAACGCCGAUCUGCGACGCUAUGCU
rnacentral:rRNA from 1 species